AUCUACAGCCAUGCCACCUUGAACGUACCUGAUCUCAUCUCAUCUCAGAAGCUAAGCAGGGUUGGACCUGGUUAGUACUUGGAUGGGAGUUCAAGAAUUAUAAUAUGUAUAGAUG
rnacentral:rRNA from 1 species